GGGCCAGUCAGGGGAAGAAGAUAAGUAGCCAAAGCUGGCAUCACGACCAUCCUCGUGUUUUUCCCCCUCCUCUCCAUCUGGUGUCUUUUCAACAACUUGGGGGAAAAAAAAUCACCUCACGGGCCUGGCUAAGACUGUAAGACUGCUGUCCUGAUACUUCUGCCUCCAAUGCUGUGGAGACCUGGGUUUCCUCUUGACUGGCAGACACAUCUAGGCAUCACUUACUGACUACAACCUGCUCUGAAUGACUGUGAGCCCUGGACUUGCUGAAAGCUGAUGUGGACCAGUCCAGCUGAUGUGAAUGCUCCCAGUGUCAUCAACACACAGUCUGUGAACCAGAUCACAAAAUCACCUUCCAAAGAAGACAGGCCCACUGAAAAUGAGAAGUCUUAUGAAUCAUUACCCUCUUUCCACUAUGUGGUGUCUUUCAGCGACUCAUCAUAUAUUCCUGCUCUUCUAUUGCACAGCAACGGGCAAAGGUUCAUCAUUGCAAAGCAAAGAUUUGAAGUGCAUUUAAAAAUUUUAUGAAAAUGAUAGCUAUUAACAACAUGGCCGAACUGUUUACCUACAGAGUUUUUUCUCAUAUUCAAUUAAAGCACUAUUUAACAAAUACAUUCAAAAUACAUAUAUCUUACUCAUAAAUAUUACACAAAAGCUUUAUGUUGCACAUGCUUUCCUCUAUUUUACUUAGGGAAAGAUGUAUUUAUCAUAAUUCUACAAUAUCUUUAGGCUUCUGACAAGCCACCUCCUGUCAGGUAUUAUUGCUUAGUUAUAAUGGGUUCAUGUAAACCUACUUAUUACAAGGAAAUAAUAAUCUUUUAAUUUAAAAGAAACAUGCACUCACAAUAUUGCUUGGAGAAUACUUCCCUAUUCUAGAAUGCAAGACUUGAGCAAUAUCAGGGAAAGAGAGUCGGGGUGAGACUUAGUGUUGGAGACCUUGCCUAGUAUGCAAAACACUGAAGGUUUAAUCCUUAACAGUGU